GAGUUUGAUCGUGGCUCAGAAUCAACGCUGGCGGCGUGCCUAACACAUGCAAGUCGAACGCGAAAACCUCGCAAGAGGUCUGUAGAGUGGCAAACGGGGUGAGUAGUACGUGGGUGACCUGCCUUCGAGUGGGGGAUAACGUCUCGAAAGGGACGCUAAUACCGCAUGACAUCCUGCUUUUGAACAAGUGGAGAUCAAAGCCGGGGUCGCAAGACCUGGCGCUUGAAGAGGGGCCCACGCCCGAUUAGCUAGUUGGUGAGGUAACGGCCCACCAAGGCGACGAUCGGUAGCCGGCCUAAGAGGGCGGACGGCCACACUGGGACUGAGACACGGCCCAGACUCCUACGGGAGGCAGCAGUGGGGAAUUGUUCGCAAUGGGCGCAAGCCUGACGACGCAACGCCGCGUGGAGGAUGAAGAUCUUCGGGUCGUAAACUCCUGUCGAGCGGGACGAAAGAUCCGCGACCUAAUACGUCGUGGAAGUGACGGUACCGCUAGAGGAAGCCCCGGCUAACUCCGUGCCAG
rnacentral:rRNA from 1 species